rnacentral:rRNA from 1 species
UACGUAGGGGGCAAGCGUUGGCUCGGAAUUACUGGGCGUAAAGGGCGCGUAGGCGGAUAGUUUAGUCAGAGGUGAAAGCCCAGGGCUCAACCUUGGAAUUGCCUUUGAUACUGGCUAUCUUGAGUUCCGGGAGAGGUGAGUGGAAUGCCGAGUGUAGAGGUGAAAUUCGUAGAUAUUCGGCGGAACACCAGUGGCGAAAGGCGGGCUCACUGGCCCGGUACUGGACGCUGAGGUGCGAAAGCGUGGGGAGCAA